rnacentral:rRNA from 1 species
AACGAACGCUGGCGGCAGGCCUAACACAUGCAAGUCGAGCGCGCCUUUCGGGGUGAGCGGCGGACGGGUUAGUAACGCGUGGGAAUAUACCCUUUUCUACGGAAUAGCCUCUGGAAACGGAGAGUAAUACCGUAUGAGCCCUUUGGGGGAAAGAUUUAUCGGGAAAGGAUUAGCCCGCGUUAGAUUAGGUAGUUGGUGGGGUAAUGGCCUACCAAGCCUACGAUCUAUAGCUGGUUUUAGAGGAUGAUCAGCAACACUGGGACUGAGACACGGCCCAGACUCCUACGGGAGGCAGCAGUAGGGAAUUUUCCACAAUGGACGAAAGUCUGAUGGAGCAACGCCGCGUGCAGGAUGAAUGCCUUCGGGUUGUAAACUGCUUUUAUUUGUGAUGAAUAUGACAGUAACAAAUGAAUAAGGGACGGCUAACUACGUGCCAGCCGCCGCGGUAAU